CAACAAAACACCACAGCCUGAUGGGCCAAGUCUGUGGAUGGUGUAACCCCACAGAUGACCUGAAAUUACACCACUAGUGGCUUUGGCCCAUAAGAAAUUUAGAGUAUGUUUUUGGUGGGUUUUUUUCUUUUUUUAUUCCCAAGUGGCAAGUUUAUGAAUUUAAUUUAGUUCUGCUAGAAGGAGCUGAACAAUGGGGAAGCACUCUAAACCCUGAUUUUUUUUUUUAUUUUUUUCCUUCCCCUGCUUUUAGGAACGAGAGUAUACAGCCCUCCGGAGUGGAUCAGAUACCACAGAUACCAUGGGAGGUCAGCAACAGUAUGGUCUCUGGGAGUUCUGCUGUAUGAUAUGGUUUGUGGAGACAUCCCUUUUGAGCAAGAUGAGGAAAUCUUGAGGGGACGAUUAUACUUCAGGAGAAGAAUCUCACCUGAAUGUCAACAGCUGAUCAAAUGGUGCCUUUCACUGAGGCCUUCAGACAGACCAACACUUGAGCAAAUUUUUGACCAUCAAUGGAUGCACAAAUCUGAAGUAGUGAAGUCUGAAGACUGUGAUAUAAGGCUACGGACCCUUGAUACUGAUGUAUCUAGCACAAGUUCAAGUAAUGAGAGUCUGUGAAUUACUAAGGACCUCGCACUGGGAGGGGAGCUACAAGCAGAAAGACCACAGUGCUGCUGCCAAUACGUAGGAGGGGCUAGAAAAAUGCAUUCAUUAUUCUGUAGUUGAAUCUUUGUCUGAGGGACUUGAUUUUAUUUUCCCCCUUUGCUGGUUUCUGCUUUGGAAUGAGAGAUUUCCUUUGGAAACGCUGAUGUUUGGGAGUUGCAGGCCAGUACUUAGUCAAAGACUGACCUUAUUAAGAAAGCAGUGACCUCUUGAAUACAUGGUAAACUUUUUUGCUCUCAUAGAGCCUGGACUAGAUUUUAUUUGCUUUUGAGUGCCUUUUUGAAAGCUGCUUCAGUGGGACUUUCUUUUUUGAGCUGUGUAUGUCCAAAGAAGAUCCAGUUCAUUAUAGGAAAUUGCUCCCUUUAGACUCAGUGCUGGAGGAAGCAGCUCCUAUGAUGCAUUGGAGAACAUGUUCAGUGAUUGAAUGAAGUAGUCCCAUCCACUGGUGAUGGAAUACUUGAACACAGACAUUUCACUCCCGCCCCUGGCCCUUUCCAAAUCCAGCCCACCUCUGCUGCUCAAAAUAUUUCCUAUAGCCUGCACAGAAAUAUGAACAGGUAUAUCAGCUUUUUUAUCAAAAACAUUUAUUCAUGUUUCCUUUUAUCAUCUCUACCACUGGGCAUGAGAAGCCCCUUUCUCAACUCCCCCCGGCCUUUUGUCACCCUGCGAGUCUUAAAGUAUGUAUGGGCAUGUCGAAUGCACAAUCAAUGCAAUAUUCAAGGACUUUACUUUUUUUUUCCAUACCUGUAUAAUGUGUUUAUGUAAACUUGUUUUAUUUUUUUUUUUUUUUUCCCCAUGUGCUAUAAAGUUAUUUAUUGUUUGGAGUUUAGAAGACCUCCCACAGGUUUCAGCUGUGGCUAUUUAUUUGGUUAAUUUAUUUGGUUAGAGUUAUUCAACACUGUGCUUUCCCCUCCUUCUCCCCAUGGGGAUUCUAGUGGUUUGCCCAUGGCACUUUUUUUCUGCAUUCCUGUCAACUUUUCUUAAAAAAAAAAAAAAAAAAAAAUCUGACCUUAUCAAUUUUUGUUGGAAGUUGGAAAAUUGUUGUACAAAGUCUAAUUUAAGGGAAAUAGAAUGACUUUAAAGUUAGUCAGUAUGCCUUUUGUCUGGUAUUAUUAUACCAGAAAUGUAAAGUAAUGCUGUUUGGAAGGGUUUUAAAUUAUUGACAUUGUAUAGUCUCCGUGCAUUGGCUCUGGAAGGUAGAGUGGCAGAGUCAUAAACCUUAAUUUAUUUUAAUAGCUGUGUUUCUGUGAUCUGGUUGCAUUUAUGCAGCUUGGAUUUGGAUUUUUUUUCUUCUGUUUAACAGUGUGAAAUGUAUGGAGAUCAUAUUUUUUAUACAGGUAUUUCAAUUAAACUUUUUUUGUAUAUAACA